rnacentral:rRNA from 1 species
UACAGAGGGGGCAAGCGUUGUUCGGAAUUAUUGGGCGUAAAGAGCUCGUAGGCGGUCUGUCGCGUCUGCUGUGAAAACUCAGGGCUUAACCCCGGGCCUGCAGUGGGUACGGGCAGACUAGAGUGCGGUAGGGGAGACUGGAAUUCCUGGUGUAGCGGUGGAAUGCGCAGAUAUCAGGAGGAACACCGGUGGCGAAGGCGGGUCUCUGGGCAGUAACUGACGCUGAGGAGCGAAAGCGUGGGGAGCGAACAGG